AUUGAACGCUGGCGGCAGGCCUAACACAUGCAAGUCGAACGGUAACAGAAAGCAGCUUGCUGCUUUGCUGACGAGUGGCGGACGGGUGAGUAAUGUCUGGGAAACUGCCUGAUGGAGGGGGAUAACUACUGGAAACGGUAGCUAAUACCGCAUAACGUCGCAAGCCCAAAGAGGGGGACCUUCGGGCCUCUUGCCAUCGGAUGUGCCCAGAUGGGAUUAGCUAGUAGGUGGGGUAACGGCUCACCUAGGCGACGAUCCCUAGCUGGUCUGAGAGGAUGACCAGCCACACGGGAACAGUGACACGGUCCAGACUCCUACGGGAUGCAGCAGUGACGAAUAUUGCACAAUAGGCGCAAGCCUGAUGCAGCCAUGCCGCGUGUAUGAAGAAGGCCUUCGGGUUGUAAAGUACUUUCAGCGGGGAGGAAGGGAGUAAAGUUAAUACCUUGGCUAAUUGACGUUACCCGCAGAAGAAGCACCGGCUAACUCCGUG
rnacentral:rRNA from 1 species